rnacentral:rRNA from 1 species
GACGAACGCUGGCGGCGUGCCUAAUACAUGCAAGUAGAACGCUGAAGGAGGAGCUUGCUUCUCUGGAUGAGUUGCGAACGGGUGAGUAACGCGUAGGUAACCUGCCUGGUAGCGGGGGAUAACUUUUGGAAACGAUAGCUAAUACCGCAUAAUAGUAGAUGUCGCAUGACAUUUGCUUAAAAGUUGCAAUUGCUUCACUACCAGAUGGACCUGCGUUGUUUUAGCUAGUUGGUGAGGUAAAGGCUCACUUAGGCAAGGAUCCAUAGCCGACGUGAGAGGGCGAUCAGCCACACUGAGAGUGAGACACGGCCCAGAGGGCUACGGGAGGCAGCAAUAGGGAAUCUGCGGGAAGGGACGGAAGUCUGACCAAGCAACGCCGCAGGAGUGAGGAAGAUUGUCGGGUCGGAGAGCUCUGUUGUAAGGGAAGAACGAGUGUGAGAGUGGAAAGUUCACACUGUGACGGUAACUUACCAGAAAGGGACGGCUAACUACGUG